rnacentral:rRNA from 1 species
GGUUUCUGCUAAGUCGCAAGACGAUGUAUAGGAGCUGACGCCUGCCCGGUGCUGGAAGGUUAAGGGGAUCUGUUAGAGCAAUCGAAGCAGUGAACUUAAGCCCCAGUAAACGGCGGCCGUAACUAUAACGGUCCUAAGGUAGCGAAAUUCCUUGUCGGGUAAGUUCCGACCCGCACGAAAGGCGUAACGAUUUGGGCACUGUCUCAACAACAGACUCGGUGAAAUUGUAAUUCCGGUGAAGAUGCCGGAUACCUGCGACAGGACGGAAAGACCCCAUGGAGCUUUACUGUAGCUUGACAUUGGGUCUUGGUACUACAUGUACAGGAUAGGUGGGAGGCUUUGAAACCAGGACGCCAGUUUUGGCGGAGCCAUCAUUGGGGUACCACCCUUGUAGUACUGGGACUCUAACCAUAGGCAAUGAAUCUGGUCUUGGGACACUGUCAGGUGCGUAGUUUGACUGGGGCGGUCGCCUCCCAAAAGGUAACGGAGGCGCUCAAAGGUUCUCUCAGUACGGUCGGAAAUCGUACGUAGAGUGUAAAGGCAAAAGAGGGCUUGAUUGCAAGACAUACAGGUCGAGCAAGGAUGAAAAUCGGACUUAGUGAUCCGGUGGUUCUGCGUGGAAGGGCCAUCGCUCAACGGAUAAAAGCUACCCUGGGGAUAACAGGCUUAUCUCCCCC